UACAGAGGUGGCAAGCGUUGUUCGGAAUUACUGGGCGUAAAGGGCGCGUAGGCGGUCAGGUCAGUCCCGUGUGAAAUCCCUCGGCUCAACUGAGGAACUGCACGGGAAACUGCCUGGCUUGAGUUCGGGAGAGGGAAGCGGAAUUCCGGGUGUAGCGGUGAAAUGCGUAGAUAUCCGGAGGAACACCGGUGGCGAAGGCGGCCUCCUGGACCGACACUGACGCUGAGGCGCGAAAGCUAGGGGAGCAAACGGG
rnacentral:rRNA from 1 species